rnacentral:piRNA from 1 species
UGUAGCAGGAAACUUAACUGGACUACACGGC